AGUCCAUCUUGGUGAUUAGAGUUGUUCUUUUGGUUGCAAGCUUUUCAAACUUUUGGAGCUCUCCUUGGGAUAAAUCUUCUAACCCUUAUCUUUACUUUCAUUGUAUUGCUUCCUUUCCAUUUACAUUUCACCUUUGUAUGACCUUCCCUCUUUUAAGGUUUUAAGUGAAAUACAAAUGUUUGACCAAAAAAAAAAAAAAGAUGGCCUUAUGGGUUCGAAUUCCAUUUCAAAGGCCCAUUACUAAAGAAAAU
rnacentral:lncRNA from 1 species